UGUUGCUUCGGCGGGCCCGCCUUAACUGGCCGCCGGGGGGCUCACGCCCCCGGGCCCGCGCCCGCCGAAGACACCCUCGAACUCUGUCUGAAGAUUGUAGUCUGAGUGAAAAUAUAAAUUAUUUAAAACUUUCAACAACGGAUCUCUUGGUUCCGGCAUCGAUGAAGAACGCAGCGAAAUGCGAUACGUAAUGUGAAUUGCAAAUUCAGUGAAUCAUCGAGUCUUUGAACGCACAUUGCGCCCCCUGGUAUUCCGGGGGGCAUGCCUGUCCGAGCGUCAUUGCUGCCCUCAAGCACGGCUUGUGUGUUGGGCCCCGUCCUCCGAUUCCGGGGGACGGGCCCGAAAGGCAGCGGCGGCACCGCGUCCGGUCCUCGAGCGUAUGGGGCUUUGUCACCCGCUCUGUAGGCCCGGCCGGCGCUUGCCGAUCAACCCAAAUUUUUAUCCAGGUUGACCUCGGAUCAGGUAGGGAUACCCGCUGAACUUAAGCAUA
rnacentral:rRNA from 1 species